rnacentral:rRNA from 1 species
AUUGAACGCUGGCGGCAUGCUUUACACAUGCAAGUCGAACGGCAGCACGGGCUUCGGCCUGGUGGCGAGUGGCGAACGGGUGAGUAAUAUAUCGGAACGUACCUAGAAGUGGGGGAUAACGUAGCGAAAGUUACGCUAAUACCGCAUACGAUCUAUGGAUGAAAGCAGGGGACCGCAAGGCCUUGUGCUCCUGGAGCGGCCGAUAUCUGAUUAGCUAGUUGGUGAGGUAAAGGCUCACCAAGGCGACGAUCAGUAGCUGGUCUGAGAGGACGACCAGCCACACUGGAACUGAGACACGGUCCAGACUCCUACGGGAGGCAGCAGUGGGGAAUUUUGGACAAUGGGCGCAAGCCUGAUCCAGCAAUGCCGCGUGAGUGAAGAAGGCCUUCGGGUUGUAAAGCUCUUUUGUCAGGGAAGAAACGGUAGAGGCUAAUAUCCUUUGCUAAUGACGGUACCUGAAGAAUAAGCACCGGCUAACUACGUG